CGGGUGAGUAAUGCGUGACCAACCUGCCCCAUGCUCCAGAAUAGCUCUUGGAAACGGGUGGUAAUGCUGGAUGCUCCAACUUGACGCAUGUCUUGUUGGGAAAGUGUUUAGUGGCAUGGGAUGGGGUCGCGUCCUAUCAGCUUGUAGGCGGGGUAAUGGCCCACCUAGGCUUCGACGGGUAGCCGGCCUGAGAGGGCGGACGGCCACAUUGGGACUGAGAUACGGCCCAGACUGCUACGGGAGGCAGCAGCC
rnacentral:rRNA from 1 species